rnacentral:rRNA from 1 species
AGAACGAACGCUGGCGGCAGGCUUAACACAUGCAAGUCGAGCGCCCCGCAAGGGGAGCGGCAGACGGGUGAGUAACGCGUGGGAAUCUACCUGGUUCUACGGAAUAACACAGGGAAACUUGUGCUAAUACCGUAUACGCCCUAUGGGGGAAAGAUUUAUCGGUGCCAGAUGAGCCCGCGUAAGAUUAGCUAGUUGGUGGGGUAAUGGCCUACCAAGGCGACGAUCUUUAGCUGGUCUGAGAGGAUGAUCAGCCACACUGGGACUGAGACACGGCCCAGACUCCUACGGGAGGCAGCAGUGGGGAAUAUGGACAAUGGGCGAAAGCCUGAUCCAGCCAUGCCGCGUGAGUGAUGAAGGCCUUAGGGUUGUAAAGCUCUUCAGUGGGGAAGAUAAUGACGGUACCCACAGAAGAAGCCCCGGCUAACUUCGUGCCAGCAGCCGC